GGGUUGUGAGGUUAAGCGACUAAGCGUACACGGUGGAUGCCUAGGCAAUCAGAGGCGAUGAAGGACGUGCUAAUCUGCGAUAAGCGUCGGUAAGGUGAUAUGAACCGUUACAACCGACGAUUUCCGAAUGGGGAAACCCAGUGCAAUUCGUUGCACUAUCGUUUGAUGAAUACAUAGUCAAACGAAGCGAACCGGGGGAACUGAAACAUCUCAGUACCCCGAGGAAAAGAAAUCAACCGAGAUUCCCCUAGUAGCGGCGAGCGAACGGGGAGCAGCCCAGAGUCUUAAUCAGCAUUAGCAUCAGGAGAACGGUCUGGAAAGUCCGGCAGUAAAGGGUGAUAGCCCCGUAUCCGAAGGUGUUAGUGUUGUGAACUCGACGAGUAGGGCGGGACACGUGUUAUCCUGUCUGAAUAUGGGGGGACCAUCCUCCAAGGCUAAAUACUCCUGAUUGACCGAUAGUGAACCAGUACCGUGAGGGAAAGGCGAAAAGAACCCCGGCGAGGGGAGUGAAAUAGAACCUGAAACCGUGUACGUACAAGCAGUGGGAGCCUUGAUUUAUCAGGGUGACUGCGUACCUUUUGUAUAAUGGGUCAGCGACUUAUAUUCUGUAGCAAGGUUAACCGUAUAGGGGAGCCGUAGGGAAACCGAGUCUUAACUGGGCGAAUGAGUUGCAGGGUAUAGACCCGAAACCCGGUGAUCUAGCCAUGGGCAGGUUGAAGGUUGGGUAACACUAACUGGAGGACCGAACCGACUAAUGUUGAAAAAUUAGCGGAUGACUUGUGGCUGGGGGUGAAAGGCCAAUCAAACCGGGAGAUAGCUGGUUCUCCCCGAAAGCUAUUUAGGUAGCGCCUCGUGAACUCAUCUUCGGGGGUAGAGCACUGUUUCGACUAGGGGGUCAUCCCGACUUACCAACUCGAUGCAAACUACGAAUACCGAAGAAUGUUAUCACGGGAGACACACGGCGGGUGCUAACGUUCGUCGUGAAGAGGGAAACAACCCAGACCGCCAGCUAAGGUCCCAAAGUCAUAGUUAAGUGGGAAACGAAGUGGGAAGGCUCAGACAGCCAGGAUGUUGGCUUAGAAGCAGCCAUCAUUUAAAGAAAGCGUAAUAGCUCACUGGUCGAGUCGGCCUGCGCGGAAGAUGUAACGGGGCUAAACUAUGCACCGAAGCUGCGGCAGCGAUAUGUAAAUAUUGUUGGGUAGGGGAGCGUUCUGUAAGCCUGUGAAGGUGUGCUGUGAGGCAUGCUGGAGGUAUCAGAAGUGCGAAUGCUGACAUAAGUAACGAUAAUGCGGGUGAAAAACCCGCACGCCGGAAGACCAAGGGUUCCUGUCCAACGUUAAUCGGGGCAGGGUGAGUCGACCCCUAAGGCGAGGCAGAAAUGCGUAGUCGAUGGGAAACGGGUUAAUAUUCCCGUACUGGUGAUAAUUGCGAUGGGGGGACGGAGAAGGCUAGGCUAUCCGGGCGACGGUUGUCCCGGUUUAAGGAUGUAGGCAGGUGAAUUAGGCAAAUCCGGUUCACUAUAUGCUGAGGUCCGACGACGAGUCACUACGGUGAUGAAGUAGCUCAUGCCCCGCUUCCAGGAAAAGCCUCUAAGCUCUAGAUUAUCAUUAAUCGUACCCCAAACCGACACAGGUGGUCAGGUAGAGAAUACUCAGGCGCUUGAGAGAACUCGGGUGAAGGAACUAGGCAAAAUGGUGCCGUAACUUCGGGAGAAGGCACGCUGGCAUUAGGUGAAGUGAUUUACUCAUGGAGCUGAAGCCAGUCGCAGAUACCAGCUGGCUGCAACUGUUUAUUAAAAACACAGCACUGUGCAAACACGAAAGUGGACGUAUACGGUGUGACGCCUGCCCGGUGCUGGAAGGUUAAUUGAUGGGGUUAUCCGUAAGGAGAAGCUCUUGAUCGAAGCCCCAGUAAACGGCGGCCGUAACUAUAACGGUCCUAAGGUAGCGAAAUUCCUUGUCGGGUAAGUUCCGACCUGCACGAAUGGCGUAAUGAUGGCCAGGCUGUCUCCACCCGAGACUCAGUGAAAUUGAACUCGCUGUGAAGAUGCAGUGUACCCGCGGCAAGACGGAAAGACCCCGUGAACCUUUACUAUAGCUUGACACUGAACAUUGAGCCUUGAUGUGUAGGAUAGGUGGGAGGCUUUGAAGCGUGGACGCCAGUCUGCGUGGAGCCAACCUUGAAAUACCACCCUUUAAUGUUUGAUGUUCUAACGUUGCCCCAUUAUCUGGGGUGCGGACAGUGUCUGGUGGGUAGUUUGACUGGGGCGGUCUCCUCCCAAAGAGUAACGGAGGAGCACGAAGGUUGGCUAAGCAUGGUCGGACAUCAUGCGGUUAGUGCAAAGGCAUAAGCCAGCUUGACUGCGAGAGUGACGGCUCGAGCAGGUACGAAAGUAGGUCUUAGUGAUCCGGUGGUUCUGAAUGGAAGGGCCAUCGCUCAACGGAUAAAAGGUACUCCGGGGAUAACAGGCUGAUACCGCCCAAGAGUUCAUAUCGACGGCGGUGUUUGGCACCUCGAUGUCGGCUCAUCACAUCCUGGGGCUGAAGUAGGUCCCAAGGGUACGGCUGUUCGCCGUUUAAAGUGGUACGCGAGCUGGGUUUAGAACGUCGUGAGACAGUUCGGUCCCUAUCUGCCGUGGGCGUUGGAAGAUUGAAAGGGGCUGCUCCUAGUACGAGAGGACCGGAGUGGACGCACCACUGGUGUUCGGGUUGUCAUGCCAAUGGCAUUGCCCGGUAGCUAAGUGCGGAAGAGAUAACCGCUGAAAGCAUCUAAGCGGGAAACUUGCCUUGAGAUGAGUCUUCCCUGACUCUUUAAGGGUCCUAAAGGAACGUUUAAGACUAAGACGUUGAUAGGUUGGGUGUGUAAGCGUAGCGAUACGUUGAGCUAACCAAUACUAAUGAACCGUGAGGCUUAACCUGACAACACCGAAGGUGUUUUAG
rnacentral:rRNA from 1 species